GACUCUCGGCAACGGAUAUCUCGGCUCUUGCAUCGAUGAAGAACGUAGCGAAAUGCGAUACUUGGUGUGAAUUGCAGAAUCCCGUGAACCAUCGAGUCUUUGAACGCAAGUUGCGCCCGAAGCCAUUAGGCUGAGGGCACGCCCGCCUGGGUGUUGCACA
rnacentral:rRNA from 1 species